ensembl:snRNA U1 U1 spliceosomal RNA
AUAUUUACCUGACAGAGGGGAUACCAUGAUCACAAAGGUGGUUUUCCCAGGGCAAAGCUUAACCAUUGCUCUCUAGAUAUGCUAACCCUGCAAUUUCCCCAAAUGUGGGAAAUUUGACUGCAUAAUUUAUGGUAGUGCAUGGUU